AUUGAACGCUGGCGGCAUGCUUUACACAUGCAAGUCGAACGGUAACAGGUUAAGCUGACGAGUGGCGAACGGGUGAGUAAUGCACCGGAACGUGCCCAGUCGUGGGGGAUAACGCAGCGAAAGCUGUGCUAAUACCGCAUACGAUCUCUGGAUGAAAGCGGGGGACCGAAAGGCCUCGCGCGAUUGGAGCGGCCGAUGUCAGAUUAGGUAGUUGGUGGGGUAAAGGCCCACCAAGCCAACGAUCUGUAGCUGGUCUGAGAGGACGACCAGCCACACUGGGACUGGGACACGGCCCAGACUCCUACGGGAGGCAGCAGUGGGGAAUUUUGGACAAUGGGGGUAACCCUGAGCCAGCAAUGCCGCGUGCAGGAAGAAGGCCUUCGGGUUGUAAACUGCUUUUGUACGGAACGAAAAGCUCUGGGCUAAUACCUUGGGGUCAUGACGGUACCGUAAGAAUAAGCACCGGCUAACUACGUGCCAGCAGCCGCAGUAA
rnacentral:rRNA from 1 species